rnacentral:misc_RNA from 1 species
UGCUUUUUUCGUAUUUAGCCAAAUCUGUUUUGGUGUUACUGUUAAGCUUAUUCGUUUAUUAUACAAUGUCAUUUUACGUUAAGUGUCAUAGUGUUGACAGUGUUUUGUUUCAGAAUUGUAUACAUGUAAAGUUGUAACUCUAAACAGUUGGUAAACGCACGGAUGCUAAGUCGCCUCGCUCAGGAUGAGUAGAUUUCACAUAUCUUCGUGAUAUACCUAUUAUCGUGGCUAAUGAUGUUGUAGGCCAUGAAGCAGCAUGAUUCGCCUCCUACCUCAGGAGUUGAGAUCUCGUCUGAGGUCGGGAGUGACCAUCACUCACCUGACCCAGUGUGUGGAGGAGCUGGUGAUGAAUUCACUUGAUGCUGGGGCCAACUGUAUAGCAGUUCGCAUCGAUCUUCCCUGCUUCAAGAUCCAGGUUGUCGACAAUGGGACUGGGAUAUCCUCCGAACAGCUAGAAAUGAUUGGAAACAGGUAUUUCACCAGUAAAUGCCAUGAGAUUCAAGACCUUGAGAAUCUCAGUUACUUUGGUUAUCGGGGAGAAGCUCUGGCCAGUCUGAAAGACACGGCAGUCAUCUUGGAUGUGACCACCAGAACGAGGCAGUCGAGCCAGACAUACUGCAAGAUGUUUCAGCGAGGGACAUCACUGACCGUUUUCGAUUCCACCAUCCAUCGACCCUCGGCAGGCACGACCGUCACCAUCCAUGACCUCUUCUACAACUUGCCAGUCAGAAGAAAGUCCAUGACGGAGAGUCUGGAGCUUGAGAGGAUUCGACACAGGAUGGAAGGCAUCGCACUGAUCCACCCAAACAUCAGCUUCUCACUCAGGAAUGAUGUCACUGGUCAUGUUCUCUUGCAGACGCACAAGAGCAGUUGUAUGCUGACAGCGUUUACUUAUCUGUUUGGUCCCAGGAAAUCGAAGUGCUUGUGUCCAGUGUCCACCAGUCAUGGUGGCUUUCAGGUUGAAGGGUAUAUGGGCAAAGAACCACAUUAUAACAAGGAACUGCAGUUUAUUUACAUAAAUGAGAGAAUGGUGUUGAAAACUAAAAUUCAUAAAUUAAUUAAUCAGAUUUUGAGUAAGUCGCUGGUUUACAAAAGAAAAUCGGUUACAUCAGAAGGUGAAAAUACUGUUAAUUCAAGUCCCACAAAGCAGAAUGAAAGGUAUUCUAUAUUUGUCUUGAAUAUCAAAUGUCCUCUUGAUGUCUAUGACAUUACUUUUGAUCCAGCAAAAACACUGGUUGAAUUUAAAGACUGGAUGGUUCUGACUGCAUCUAUAGAGUCAAUGGUGUGGAGUUUUCUUAAGAAAGAGAACCUUGUUUCUUUAGCUGAUGCCAGUUGCUUAGUCUCGUCUCCUGAUAAAACUGUUGUAGACACGGAAAAACAGUCCAUCGAAACUCAGGAGUCUAAAAUAAAUAAUGAUGUUCAGUUAGAGUUGGCCAGAAACAAAAAUGAUGAAAGUCAAACAAAGACUGGUGACAUUGACCCAACAGACAAUGCCUUGACUGAAAAUAAAAAGCAGUUUGUUGAAAAUAUUGGUGACAGGAUAUCGACACACAACAUGAUGCAAGGUCUUCAUUCACAGAUGGUUACCCGAAUUACUAAUUCUAAAGAUGUCCAGGGUAACACUGAAGUAACAGGAGAAGAUUCUUCUGACAGGUCUUCUGAAUUGGACAUUGUGAAUGUAGACAACAGUAACCAGAGUAAAGCUAGUGUCAUGUCACUAGUAUCAGCACAACAAAGUGAUGAAUCCACAGUUUCCGUAACCCCUCAUGAUGGUGUUCGAUCACCUGCAAGAAAUAUUGCCAUCUCUGAUACAGAAAGCAAAGACACAGACUCUCCUAUAGCAGUAGCAGAAGCUUCUACAGAUUCUUGUCUGAGAACUCCAGAUAGACCUACAGUACAUGGCUGCGUGAGUCCAAAGAUCGCAGUAGUGCCAUCCACAAACACCUGUUCAGUUUCAAAGACUGAAGGAAGGUUUCAGUCCAGUGGGAAUGAUCAAAGUCAUUCCUGUGAUUCUGAUAUGGAGAUAGAAGAUCCAUUAAUAAGCCCAUUAAAAAUGUUGUAUAAAGAAAAGUGUGUUCAAAGUCAACAUUUAAAUGGAUCAAAUGCUGAGAAUGAAAGAAACCUGAAGCCAGGAUUGGAGAGUACAGCCCAGAAAGGGGUUUUGUCAUAUCCUGGGUAUUCAAACAGAUUAGAACAGACUGCAGUGGCUAACAGUUUCAAAGAAAAGAUCCAGCUUUCGCUGGGUCAGUUGUAUUCCAGAAGAACUGCCACAAAUAUGAAUAAAAUCAGUCGCAUCACACUGACUCCGGAGAAGAGGAAAGCAUCAAGAAGUUUUAGACUACAGAUCAGUGAGAAUCUGGCUGCAGGUGGCUUCAUGGAUCCUGCCUUCAAUAAAGUUUGUGAUCCAGAUGAUUUACCCAGUGUUACAAGGCAUAUUAAAUACAGUAUACAAGGAAACCCAGAACUUGUGUCUGAGACAGAAUGUAGAGCACAUCGUGGUCAAAGUGAUAGUACUGAGGAUGGUUCUGCUGUGUGUACACAUGUUGCAAAGAAUUCUGAAUACACACAGAAAGAAGAUUGUGAUCAGAAUAGAAUUAGUUCUUUAAUACAAGCUGAAAAUCCACUUCAAUUCUCUAUUCCUUCAGGUUCUAUGGUCAGACAAGUGGACAGAAAUCAGGAUGCCCUGAAACCAUACAUUAGGUGCCAGAACACUGUGACAACACAAACCUCUCCUGAUUUGCAAAAUAGCUUUUUAGAAAGUAGUACAAGAAAAAAGGAAUCUGGGUUAGGUGUGAGGAAACGGUUGCAUCCUACUUUUGGAUCUUUGUCAACUGUAGCCUCUAAGUUAUCAAAGUUGGUACAAGCAAAUGCUCACAAUAAGACAAAGGGAAAUAUUUCUGAUGUAAUGGAAAGUUCUGGAAGCAGACAUAGAUUUAUGACUUCUGCUUCUUUUUGUGAAACUCCUAGAACAGUGUUUGCAAGACUUUCUGCUCAGACUGAAAAUGUUGUUUCAGGACCUGAACCGACUGUUGGUACACAAAAUGGGAGAGGUAUACAAAAUGUUCAUGAGAGGUUAAAUAUAAACAGUUACAAACAGACUGGUAGACCAGCAGAUCAUAGUGGUGUUUGUUGUACAGGAAAUAACAGAUUACCCCCAAAACAUUUUCUUCAAGAUUCUAAUAGUCUAACUGGAAAACAUCACCAAGAUACACAUAAUGUAAAGUUUAAUUCUGAUAAAUCUGAAGUCUCCAGAUAUGUCAUACAGUCACACGAAGAAAAUCUUGGUGACAAGAGUUGUGAUCUGAGCAUAUCUAAAAAUGUUUCUAAUCCAUGCAGUUUGGCCAGUUUUGAAGACAAUGGUCUAAUUAAAAAAACAGACCACAUACUAAAGCCAGUACCAAUUGAUAUUUCUAGUACCAACAGACAUCUGAUUAAAGAUAUACAUUAUGAUCAAGAUGGUGUACAAAACCUAGUGCAUUUAGACAGUGAUUGCACCAGGAGACAGAUAACUGAGAAUUUACCAUUUGUUCAAGAUAGCACACAAAAACAAGUCCAAUUAAAUGAUACUGGCACAAGCAGAGAGAUGAUCAAGAUUUUACCAAGUGUACUUAAUAACUCUGAAAAGUCAGCCAGUACCAAACCGAUGAGUGAAUUAUAUGACAGCACAAUUCUGCAAGAAGCUAGUCAAGGGUUUGAUGUACCAAGUAGACCUGUGAUGAAUGUAGGUAGAUCACAAAGAGCUGUAUUUCACUCACAAGGGUUUAGUUUAUCUGAGCCAGAAUUAGAAGCAGUUGAGCCUGAAUUAAAAGAAACAGACUUGAGAUGCAGGUAUUCUUAUGAAACGCAAGAAUUUUCUCCAAUGAAGGAUACUUGUGACAAAGAUGAACAUGUUCUUCAGAAAAGGACUUCUUUAUUUUCUGAUAUAUUUACUCCUGUGGAAUCAGGUGGUGAUAUAAUGCAUAAAGAUACAAUAUCAGCUUCAGUAAAUGACACAAAUGACUCACAGAGUGAUGUGUUGAUGACUUCUGAGUUUUGUUGUGGACAACAACAUGGUAAAAAUGAUUCAUUGGAGAAUACAGAUACAUCACCACUGUACAGUUUGUUGUCCAAGCAUUCACAAAGUCCACCAGAUCAUCUUGAUGAUGAACAGUUUGCAGCUAGAUACAAUGGUCCCAGUCCAAGCCUUUCUGUAGUACACAUAUUUACAGACAACUCCAGUGUAAACUUAGUAGAUAAGAAUGAUGACACCACUGCAAAACCUCACACUCAUAUGAUCUCUUCUUGUACAGACAACUCCAGUGUAUCAAUAAAUACCAGUAAUGAUUUAAUGGAAAUACCUCACACCCAAAUAGACUCUUCUGGGAUAUGUACAGACAGCUCUAAUGUAACAUUAGUAAAUAAGAAUGGUGACUCUACUGCAAAACCACAAACUCAAAUGGACUCCUUUUUGAUAUGCACAGACAAUUCCAGUGUACGAUUAGACAUGAGUGAUGAUUUCCCUGCCAAACCUCAAACCCAAAUGAACUCUUCUGUGAUAGGUACACACAACUACAGCAUAACAUUAGAUGUGAAUUGUGACACCACUGAUAAACCACACUCUCAAAUGGACUCCUCCAUGAAUUGUACAGACAGUUCUAAUGUAACAGUGGUAAAUGUGAGUGAUGAUUGCAAAGCAAAUCUUUGCACCCAAGUGAAUUCUUCUGUGAUAUGUAUGGACAACUCCAGUGUAAAAUUAGUGAAGAUGAGUGAUGAUGCCUCUUCAAAAUCACAACCCCAAAUUAACUCUUCUUUGGCUUGUAAAUAUAUAUCCAACAUGAACCCAGCAUUACAUUUAAAUACCACCAAUAAAGAAUCAGACAUACAAACAAACAGUGUUAUUCAAAAAGAGUGUAAUGAAAUUUCUGAUACAAUACCUUCAACCUCAUCCUCAGAGGAGAUCAGGUCAGAUAAUCUAGAACACAGAGGAAGUCUACAGACAAUGAUGAAUGAGGCAGAAACAGAUGGUGAUGGCAUGGUGGAAUUGGAGCAGGUGCUUGGUAACAAUCGGUGUGUUGAGGAUCGUCCAGAUAAUUCCUUGAUGAAGUCUGCUGACAAAGAUCUGUGUCUGAAACCCAGUAACUUGUUCAAUAAGGAUAUGUCAGAAAUGUGGAGUCCAGAUUCUCUUCUAGACAGUGCUGAGACAGUGGAGACAGGACCAGCUGAUGGUGACCAGGUGAAAGCAUCAACAUCAUCUUCUCUUUCACAUGCUGAACCUGAGUCACCACAAUCUGACCGAGAGCAGACGCAGGAUAUUUGGAAGAAGGUUGAAGACCCCAAAACAGCUGGUGCACUGUAUGUAAAUAUACUCACUGGCAACACUAUGUCUGAAGACGAGUGGCACAUAUUCAAUGCUCAAGAUUCAAAUGAACAAGGUAGCCGUGAAUGCAGAAGUUCACCAUGAUACCUUCUCCGCUGGCAGAUGCUUCCAGAGUCUGUAUCCAACUCGAUUUACAAAGAAAAUGCUGCAAGAUGUAAAGGUGCUUGGUCAGAUUGAUAACAAGUUCAUUGCCUGUGUCCUCAAGACCGAUGACAAGAAUACAUCACAAG